rnacentral:tRNA from 1 species
CAGUAAAUAUUUUAAAAAAAAAUAUUAGUUUUGGAGACUAAUGAUGGAAAAUUUUUCUUUACUGA